ACGAACGCUGGCGGCGUGCUUAACACAUGCAAGUCGAACGCUGAAGCUCAGCUUUUGUUGGGUGGAUGAGUGGCGAACGGGUGAGUAACACGUGAGUAACCUGCCUCCUUCUUUGGGAUAACGCCCGGAAACGGGUGCUAAUACUGGAUAUUCACUGGUCUUCGCAUGGGGGUUGGUGGAAAGGGUUUUUCUGGUGGGGGAUGGGCUCGCGGCCUAUCAGCUUGUUGGUGGGGUGAUGGCCUACCAAGGCUUUGACGGGUAGCCGGCCUGAGAGGGUGACUGGUCACAUUGGGACUGAGAUACGGCCCAGACUCCUACGGGAGGCAGCAGUGGGGAAUAUUGCACAAUGGGCGCAAGCCUGAUGCAGCGACGCCGCGUGAGGGAUGGAGGCCUUCGGGUUGUGAACCUCUUUCGCUCAUGGUCAAGCCGCAACAAUGGUUGUGGUGAGGGUAGUGGGUAAAGAAGCGCCGGCUAACUACGUG
rnacentral:rRNA from 1 species